rnacentral:rRNA from 1 species
AUACGGAGGGAGCGAGCGUUAAUCGGAAUUACUGGGCGUAAAGCGCGCGUAGGCGGCUUUGUAAGUCGGAUGUGAAAGCCCCGGGCUCAACCUGGGAAUUGCAUUCGAUACUGCAGAGCUAGAGUAUGGUAGAGGGAAGUGGAAUUUCCGGUGUAGCGGUGAAAUGCGUAGAUAUCGGAAGGAACACCAGUGGCGAAGGCGACUUCCUGGGCCAAUACUGACGCUGAGGUGCGAAAGCGUGGGGAGCAAACAGGAUUAGAUACCCGAGUAGUCC